UGCUAGAUCUAAUAGUCAUUUUUCAAAUGUAUUGCCAUGGAAAAAACAUCAAGGCAAACCAAGACCUGGGCUGGGGUAGAUGUGCCAGUCUCUGAGCACAGCAGUGUAACAUCGACUUAUGAACAGUACUUCCUGUCUGGGGCAGAAACUUCAAAUAGCCCAGCUACUCUGCACUCAGGCACUCGGAGAAGGGCUGGUCUCUGGGCUGGAGUGAAAACAAGAGAAAUUUCAACCUGGGGAAGAACUUUGAUCAUGCUCUUCCCUGGCCUGGUGUGGACAUUCAUAGCCUCCUUCGCCUUCAGAUCCAGCAUGGCUGACAGAGUAACCCAACCUCAGGCUACAAUUACAGCACAGGAAGGAGAAGCUGUAACCCUGCCCUGCACGUAUGAAACCACCUGGAGUACUUAUUAUUUGUACUGGUACAAGAAACCUGCCAGUGGAGAGAUGGUUCUGCUUAUUACACAGUAUUCUAGUUAUUCAAAUGCAAAGCAGGGUCGCUAUUCUGUGAACUUUCAAAAGGCAAAAAAGUCCAUCAGCCUCACCAUCUCCUCCUUGCAACUGGAAGACUCAGCGAAGUACUUCUGUGCUCUUAGAAUCCCACAGUUACAGAAACGAGAGUGGCAGCUUAACAAAAACCUUAGAGCUCCAUGAAGACAGCCACCUGCUCAGAGGCUUAGGAAACCCAGGACCCACAGACAGGAAGAAGGCGGGCUGUGUGGUGGCACCGCUGAGACCCUCUAAUGGAAACUUGCUUCUAUAAACAGUGCUGUAUAUUUAGAACAGUGUAUAAACCAGCACUCUUCCCUGAGAGUCUCAGGUCUUAUGUUUAUGUUCAGUAAAAACUGCUUUUCAAAUUGUUCCUAAACAGGUUGAACGAAUGUAUUUAUUUCAGAAAAAUCAGUAGUUUCAUAAU